GAUGAACGCUGGCGGCGUGCCUAAUACAUGCAAGUCGAGCGAACGGACGAGAAGCUUGCUUCUCUGAGGUUAGCGGCGGACGGGUGAGUAACACGUGGAUAACCUACCUAUAAGACUGGGAUAACUUCGGGAAACCGUAGCUAAUACCGGAUAAUAUGUUGAACCGCAUGGUUCAAAAGUGAAAGACGGUCUUGCUGUCACUUAUAGAUGGAGCCGCGCUGCAUUAGCUAGUUGGUAAGGUAACGGCUUACCAAGGCAACGAUGCAUAGCCGACCUGAGAGGGUGAUCGGCCACACUGGAACUGAGACACGGUCCAGACUCCUACGGGAGGCAGCAGUAGGGAAUCUUCCGCAAUGGGCGCAAGCCUGACGGAGCCACGCCGCGUGAGUGAUGAAGGUCUUCGGAUCGUAAAGCUCUGUUAUUAGGGAAGAACAUCUGUGUAAGUAACUGUGCACAUCUUGACGGUACCUAAUCAGAAAGCCCCGGCUAACUACGUG
rnacentral:rRNA from 1 species